CCUACGGGCUGCACCAGUGGGGAAUAUUGCACAAUGGGCGCAAGCCUGAUGCAGCCAUGCCGCGUGUAUGAAGAAGGCCUUCGGGUUGUAAAGUACUUUCAGCGGGGAGGAAGGUGCUGAGGUUAAUAACCUCAGCAAUUGACGUUACCCGCAGAAGAAGCACCGGCUAACUCCGUGCCAGCAGACGCGGUAAUACGGAGGGUGCAAGCGUUAAUCGGAAUUACUGGGCGUAAAGCGCACGCAGGCGGUCUGUCAAGUCGGGUGUGAAAUCCCCGGGCUUAACCUGGGAACUGCAUUCGAAACUGGCAGGCUAGAGUCUUGUAGAGGGGGGUAGAAUUCCAGGUGUAGCGGUGAAAUGCGUAGAGAUCUGGAGGAAUACCGGUGGCGAAGGCGGCCCCCUGGACAAAGACUGACGCUCAGGCGCGAAAGCGUGGGGAGCAAACAGGAUUAGAUACCCGGGUAGUC
rnacentral:rRNA from 1 species